GAGCAGAAUAGUAAAUCAAAGGAAGAACUUGCAAGUACAAAAAGCAAGAACUGAUUUAGAUGGUUCAGAAGAGUAAACAAUCAACAAACUAUCCGAACAUAAAAUAUGUCUUGAGGCUCGAUACGCCUUACUAGACAAAGACAACAGUUCUAGACUGAGGACUUUAAUAGGAAACAAACACUAGUGGGUGUUAAACAGUGUGCACCAAGGGAAUGGUAUACUUUUCCCGUAUAGACAAGACCUACAGAGAAUCUCUAAUCGGAAUUAUAAGAGUAGAAAGCUCCAGAACGAUCGAAGAUAAAAGGCACACCAGCUUCAGGACCAGCUCGAAGAAAGACAACAGGUGGUUUCUCUACAUGAAAACACAACACAUUAGUGAGUACUAACUUAUUCAGAUAAUGAAUUUGUCAUAUUUUGGCAAUGAUUAGAAAAGCAGAGACUAUAGGUAAAGGAAGUGCAAGAACUAGUACCAUAGUCAUCAUAAGGCAUGGGAGUGGGAGGUUCCACAUCAAUAG
rnacentral:lncRNA from 1 species